AUACGUAGGGUGCAAGCGUUAAUCGGAAUUACUGGGCGUAAAGCGUGCGCAGGCGGUUUUGUAAGACAGAGGUGAAAUCCCCGGGCUCAAACUGGGAACUGCCUUUGUGACUGCAAGGCUAAAGGACGGCAGAGGGGGAUGGAAUUCCGCGUGUAGCAGUGAAAUGCGUAGAUAUGCGGAGGAACACCGAUGACGAAGGCAAUCCCCUGGGCCUGUACUGACGCUCAUGCACGAAAGCGUGGGGAGCAAACAGGAUUAGAUACCCUGGUAGUCCACGCCCUAAACGAUGUCAACUGGUUGUUGGGUCUUCAUUGACUCAGUAACGAAGCUAACGCGUGAAGUUGACCGCCUGGGGAGUACGGCCGCAAGGUUGAAACUCAAAUGAAUUGACGGGG
rnacentral:rRNA from 1 species